UUACCUUGAUGUAAUUAAGGACCUUUAUUAAAUGGUCUUUAUAGAGAAGGAUUUUAAGUACAGUAGUGUGGAAGUUAAUUUAUUCAAAUGAUGAACCUAGCUUGAUAGGAAUUGCCGACUGAUCGACACUUGAAGCUAUAUACAUUGCUGACUAUAUACUAUAUCUGAUAAUGAUUUGGGGAGCUUCAAAAUGAUUUAUUAAUUUCUUGACAUUCUUUCUAGAGGAGGAGGAUGUGAAGUGGGAGUGGAAGGUGACAUGAUUUAAAAUUGGAGGAUGUGUGAAAUGGGGGAAGACUGUUUUAAGAUUUAAAUUGGGAGGUUGACUUGUAAAAUGGAGUAGCAGCCGAGAUAAUGAAUGGGAGGAGGAGGAUGUGAAGUGGGAGUGGAAGGUGACAUGAUUAAAAUUGGAGGAUGUUUGAAAUGGGGGACGACUCCGACGAAGAUUUGAAUUGGGAGGUUGACUUGUAAAAUAGAGUAGCAGCCAAGAUAAUGAAUGGGGUGGUGGCCAUACCCAAGGAGAUGAAUACACAUGACAUGAUUGCUGUUGAUUGCCAUUCAUCAAUACGAUCAGAAUUAAAAAAAAAAAAUGCCGCGACUGUCAGUCUGUCUAAAAUGGCAACUUUAGUGUAUUUAUUCAUGGAGUGUGCAUACAAUAAUGGGCACUCUAAUGAUAGUUAUGGUGUACUGUACUAUUAUAAUUAUUUGCCUAAUAAAAAGAUCACAUUU